rnacentral:rRNA from 1 species
GAUGAACGCUGGCGGCGUGCCUAAUACAUGCAAGUCGAGCGAACAGACGAGGAGCUUGCUCCUCUGACGUUAGCGGCGGACGGGUGAGUAACACGUGGAUAACCUACCUAUAAGACUGGGAUAACUUCGGGAAACCGGAGCUAAUACCGGAUAAUAUAUUGAACCGCAUGGUUCAAUAGUGAAAGACGGUUUUGCUGUCACUUAUAGAUGGAUCCGCGCCGCAUUAGCUAGUUGGUAAGGUAACGGCUUACCAAGGCAACGAUGCGUAGCCGACCUGAGAGGGUGAGCGGCAACACGGGAACUGAGACACGGUCCAGACUCCUACGGGAGGCAGAAGUAGGGAAUCGUCCGAAAUGGGCGAAAGCCUGACGGAGCAACGCCGCGUGAGUGAUGAAGGUCUUCGGAGCGUAAAACUCUGUUAUUAGGGAAGAACAAAUGUGUAAGUAACUAUGCACGUCUUGACGGGACCUAAUCAGAAAGCCACGGCUAACUACG